GCGGCCGGGGGCUGAGCGCUGGCGGAGAGGAGCCCCGGUGGAGGAGGGUGAGCCGCUGCCAGGGGCGGUCGGUGGCCCAGAAGAGGCGCCUGCCGGAGCCCCCUGGCCAGACUUCGCUCUUUCCCGGCCGAUCAGCAGCCUUCCCCCCGCGGUCCAGACUCGCUGCGGAGACCAAGACUGACGCGGAGCGCAACCAAUCCGAAAGCGCAACGCCCCGGCGCAGGCUAUAAUAAGAACAGCCUAUCGGAAACUUAGGGCAAGGCUCGAUGGAAACCUUCGCUCUUCGUCUCUCUCCCUCUCCCUCUCCCCCCCCCCACCCCCCUUCCCCGAACCCCUUCCCUCCAGUCAAAUUUUCAAGCUACGCGUUGCAAGUCAGCAAAGGGAAAACGGGAAAAACCAGGGACGGGGAGGAAAUCCGUCGACGAGGCAACCUUCUUAUUACCUAAAAGCUUUCCACCUGGAAGCCGCAGAAGAAAAAGCUUUUCUCCUGCCUUUAUUUCGGAGAUGCCUGCAAGGGCUCUUGGAGCCGCUCGGCAAACCCCAAUCUGGGAGGCGACGGUCUUCACACCGCUCCCUGAGCACACAAAGGACCUUUCCCCUUAGAUUAAAAGAAAGCAGGUAUCCCCGGGGGAGAAACGCAGCCUGGAGAAUUUUUUUUUUUUUUGCGGUAACCUCGGACCUUUGUUUCAGUGACUGCAGAAGAAGAACUACACUUUUUAGAAGAAGCAGCCGAAGUGAGCGAAAAGGAGGCGACCGCAGAAGCGCAGAGAAGCUUCUUAACCACUUAGGACCCAGUCUGUGAUUCGCGGCUGUCAAUUGUUAUUACACUGAAUACACAACGUAAUAAAUGUCCCCGAUUAACGGUU